GAUGAAGAACGCAGCGAAAUGCGAUAAGUAAUGUGAAUUGCAGAAUACAGUGAAUCAUCGAAUCUUUGAACGCACCUUGCGCCUUUUGGUAUUCCGAAAGGCACACCUGUUUGAGCGUCAUGAAUACCUCAAUCUCCAUCUUUUCUUCGGAUUGAUGGGUGACUUGGAUGUUGAGCCCUGCUGGUAUGCUAUAUCAGCUGGCUUUAAACUUAUUAGCCGGCUCUGUACUGGAUCGGUUUGACUCGACGUGAUAAUAUUAUCGUUGAGGAUGCAUGUCUCAUGCAGCCGGAAAGUAUCAAAGCAGCUUCUAGCUUGCCUUUAGUGCACUUUUACAUUUUAGACCUCAGAUCAGGUGGGACUACCCGCUGAACUUAAGCAUAUCAAUAAGCGGAGGA
rnacentral:misc_RNA from 1 species